rnacentral:rRNA from 1 species
CACGUAGGGGACGAGCGUUGUCCGGAUUCAUUGGGCGUAAAGCGCGCGUAGGCGGCUCGGAAAGUCGGUCGUGAAAUGCCGGGGCUCAACCCCGGGACUGCGUCCGAUACUCCCGAGCUGGAGGCAGGUAGGGGAGAUCGGAAUUCCUGGUGUAGCGGUGAAAUGCGCAGAUAUCAGGAGGAACACCGGUGGCGAAGGCGGAUCUCUGGGCCUUGCCUGACGCUGAGGCGCGAAAGCCAGGGGAGCAAACGGG